AGUGAACGCUGGCGGUAGGCCUAACACAUGCAAGUCGAACGGCAGCACAGUAAGAGCUUUCUCUUACGGGUGGCGAGUGGCGGACGGGUGAGGAAGACAUCGGAAUCUACUUUUUCGUGGGGGGGAACGUAGGGAAACGUACGCUAAUACCGCAUACGACCUACGUGUGAAAGCAGGGGAUCUUCGGACCAUGCGCGAUUGAAUGAGCCGAUGUCGGAUUAGCUAGUUGGCGGGGUAAAGGCCCACCAAGGCGACGAUCCGUAGCUGGUCUGAGAGGAUGAUCAGCAACACUGGAACUGAGACACGGCCCAGACUCCUACGGGAGGCAGCAGUGGGGAAUAUUGGACAAUGGGCGCAAGCCUGCUCCAGCCCUACCGCGUGGGUGAAGAAGGCCUUCGGGUUGUAAACCCCUUUUGUUGAGAAAGAAAAGCAGCAGGUUAAUACCCCGCUGUUCUGACGGUACCCAAAGAAUAAGCACCGGCUAACUUCGUG
rnacentral:rRNA from 1 species